UGACGUCAAGUCAUCAUGGCCCUUACGGCCUGGGCUACACACGUGCUACAAUGGUCGGUCAAAGGGUUGCCAAGCCGCGAGGUGGAGCUAAUCCCAUAAAACCGAUCGUAGUCCGGAUCGCAGCUGCAACUCGACUGCGUGAAGUCGGAAUCGCUAGUAAUCGUGAAUCAGAAUGCCCACGGUCCGAAUACGUUCCGGGCCUU
rnacentral:rRNA from 1 species